CCCUUAGAUGUCCUGGGCGGCCCGCGCGCUACAAUGUCAGCUACUGAAGGUUAAUGCUUUGAAAGAGAGCGCACUCUCCUUUUAAUUGCUCGCAUGCUGGGAUAAAUGAAUGCAAUUUUGUUUUGAACGAGGAAUUCCUAGUAGCCAUGUUUCACUAGAAGAUGGCGAAUGCGUCCCUGCCCUUUGUACACACCGCCCGUCGCUCCUACCGAUGAGCGUUUUGGCGAAGACGGUUUGAGUAGCUGCGUAAUUUCGUGUUGUUGACUCCGGCAGUUUGAGCCUUCACGUUUAGAGGAAGGAGAAGUCGUAACA
rnacentral:rRNA from 1 species